rnacentral:rRNA from 1 species
AAGUCCGGUUCAUCUGCCGGAGGCUACCGCUAUUGGAGUCGAUUAGCCAUGCGAGUCGAGAGUCUUAGGGACUCGGCGUACCGCUCAGUAACACGUGGGUAACCUGCCCUAUGCUGGGGAAUAACCUCGGGAAACUGAGAAUAAUGCCCCAUAGUUCACUACGCCUGGAACGGUGAGUGGAUGAAAGCUCCGGCGGCAUAGGAUGGGCCUGCGGCGUAUCAGGUCGUAGGGGGUGUAACGUACCCUCUAGCCAUCGACGCGUACGGGUGUUGGGAGACAUAGCCCGGAGAUGGAUUCUGAGACACGAAUCCAGACCCUACGGGGUGCAGCAGGCGCGAAAACUUGGCAAUGCGAGAAAUCGUGACCAGGGAACUCCAAGUGGCUGGGGUAAGACCCAGUCUUUUCUUGACUCUUCAAAGGUCUUGGAAUAAGAGGUGGGUAAGGACGGUGCCAGCCGCCGCGGUAAUACCGGCGCCUCAAGUGGUAGUCGAUUUUAUUGGGCCUAAAACGUCCGUAGCCUGUUUGGUACAUUCGUGGGUAAAUCAACCAGCUCAACUGGUUGAAUUCUGCGAGCACGGCCAGACUUGGGACCGGGAGAGGUGUGGGGUACGCUCAGGGUAGGGGUAAAAUCCUGUCAUCCUGAGCGGACCACCUGUUGCGAAGGCGCCACACUAGAACGGAUCCGACGGUCAGGGACGAAGCCUAGGGGCACGAACCGGAUUAGAUACCCGGGUAGUCCUAGGUGUAAACGCUGUGGACUUGGUGUUGGGGAUUCUCCGAGGAUUCUCAGUGCCGAAGCGAAGGUGAUAAGUCCACUGCCUGGGGAGUACGGUCGCAAGGCUGAAACUUAAAGGAAUUGGCGGGGGAGCACCGCAACCUGAGGAU